rnacentral:rRNA from 1 species
UACAACCAAUAUCAAUGGAUCUCUGGACUCUAACUACGAUGAAAAACGCAGCAAAAUGCGAAACAUAAUAUGAAUCGCAAGACACUAUGAAUCAUCAGAUUUUUGAACGC